GGCUUGGUGGUCUAGAGGUAUGAUUCCUUCUUAGGGAACUAUGUGGAGGAGGUCCCGGGUUCAAUUCCCGGCCAAGCCC